AUAAACGAAUGUGUGCGCGCGCGUGCAUCACGUACACAUUGCUUGUAGAGUGAGGGUGGGAGAUGACAGGAAGGGGAGGGACACGAAGGUUCUAACCUCGCGGUGGGUGGUAAACGAUAGAUAAGAUGCGCUUCCAUUUUGUCUUUUGAGCACUGCACCACAGGGAAGAACAAGUUUUCUGAAUGUUCAAAAAUCCAUAUUUUAAAUCGAUUUAUGAUGGAGAUGAGGAAGGAAGAGAAAAUGAUAGGAAGAAGAUGGUAGAAUAUCGAUAUAUACUUAAAAAAAUAUUACCACGGUAAUCGAGGUGACACAAAAACAUCGUAAAUAUGUACACGACAAAACAGGGAAUAAGAAAUGUGGUAAUCGUUUCACUUUUGAAACUUUAUCGAGUUUGUUGCAAGAAAUGUUUCUUGGAUAACAAUGAAGUCUAAACCGUGGCACCUUCGGCCCUUGUUUCCGUUCUCACGUUCAUUCGUUCUAAAUGGAAUCAACGAUCUUUUUAUUAGUCACCUUCUCAUUGCUAGUUUGCCGUUUAUUUAGAAAAUUGUCUUGAGAAAGGAUACCACCACUUAAUACCUAGAGAAAUUUUUACAUAACAGUAAUUAUGAUAAUAGUAUUUCUUUAAUAUUAAAGAUACUUAUAUGUUCAAUUUA